UACGGAGGGGGUUAGCGUUGUUCGGAAUGACUGGGCGUAAAGCGCGCGUAGGCGGAUCGGAAAGUUGGGGGUGAAAUCCCGGGGCUCAACCCCGGAAUGGCCUUCAAAACUCCCGGUCUUGAGUUCGAGAGAGGUGAGUGGAAUUCCGAGUGUAGAGGUGAAAUUCGUAGAUAUUCGGAGGAACACCAGUGGCGAAGGCGGCUCACUGGCUCGACACUGACGCUGAGGUGCGAAAGCGUGGGGAGCAAACAGGAUUAGAAACCCCCGUAGUCC
rnacentral:rRNA from 1 species